UACGUAGAAGGCGAACGUUAUCCGGAUUUACUGGGCGUAAAGCGGGCGUAGACGGUCACUCAAGUCGAGUGUGAAAUCUCCUGACUCAAUCAGGAGAGGUCAUUCGAUACUGAGUGGCUUGAGGACAACAGAGGAAGGCGGAAUUCCCGGUGUAGCGGUGAUAUGCGUAGAUAUCGGGAGGAACACCAGUGGCGAAGGCGGCCUUCUAGGUUGUUCCUGACGUUGAGGCCCAAAAGCGUGGGGAGCGAAACGGAUUAGAUACCCCCGUA
rnacentral:rRNA from 1 species